rnacentral:rRNA from 1 species
CCUACGGGGUGCUGCAGUGGGGAAUAUUGCACAAUGGGGGAAACCCUGAUGCAGCGACGCCGCGUGAGUGAAGAAGUAAUUAGUUAUGUAAAGCUCUAUCAGCAGGGAAGAAAAUGACGGUACCUGAGUAAGAAGCCCCGACUAACUACGUGCCAGCAGCCGCGGUAAUACGUAGGGGGCAAGCGUUAUCCGGAUUUACUGGGUGUAAAGGGAGCGUAGACGGCAGUGCAAGUCUGGAGUGAAAGGCGGGGGCUCAACCCCCGGACUGCUCUUGAAACUGUACGGCUGGAGUGCGGGAGAGGUAAGUGGAAUUCCUAGUGUAGCGGUGAAAUGCGUAGAUAUUAGGAGGAACACCAGUGGCGAAGGCGGCUUACUGGACUGUAACUGACGUUGAGGCUCGAAAGCGUGGGGAGCAAACAGGAUUAGAUACCCGAGUAGUC